rnacentral:rRNA from 1 species
AAUGAACGUUGGCGGCGUGGAUUAGGCAUGCAAGUCGCGCGACAAGGAACCUUCGGGUUCUGGAGGAGCGGCAAACGGGGUAGUAAGGCAUCGGAACGUACCCUCUUGUUGGGAAUAGCCGCGGGAAACUGCGAGUAAUGCCCAAUAAUCCCUACGGGGCAAAGGUCCGCCGCAGGAGGAGCGGCCGAUGUGAUACCAGCUAGUUGGUGAGGUAAUGGCUCACCAAGGCUUAGACGUCUAGGGGGUGUGAGAGCAUGGCCCCCACCACUGGACGUGAGAUACUGCCCACGACACCUACCGGGUGGGCGUGCAGUCGAGAA